CUUAUAAAAUUUUAAUUUCUAAACAUAUUAGAAUUUGAUUUUAAUAAAACAACAAAGGCUACUAUUGCUUCCCUUCCGUCACCGUCUUUGAGGUCACCCCCAGCUCACCUAUAUGUUUUUUUCCAGAGCUGCAAGGGGGCGGGACGGAUUUUGCUGAUAAAAACUAUCAUCCCUAAUGUUUUUCAACAUACUGUGCCCUUCACAGUGCAUUUCGUUCUGCCAUCCCACACAAAAAACAUAUUAUGCCCUUCAUGUUAGGCCAAAUUAUAAAAUUAAUGUGCACCGAAUACUUUAAAGAAAAAAAAAAAAGGAGUUAACCCUUAAAUUUCAUAGUAUAGGACCCACAUCCAUUAAUUCACUAAUUUCCUUUUACGUACUAGAAAUAGUUACGGGUUUUGUGCUGAGCCCAAUUAAGUAAGGUCUGUGUGCCUCUUCAAGGUUAUUGUGGUGUUAGGAACUUAAAAUGUUUGAUUCUUAACAUACUCUUUCAUAUAAAAAAUUUCUGAUGAUAUAGUUAGAAAACCUAACAUAAUGUUUGAAAUGGUGGAAAGGAAGAGAAAAGAAAAUCAAUCAUGAAAAAAAUUGGAAAGAUUUCAACUUUUUCUUAGAAAUAGAGGAAAUUAAGAGGAAGGAAAUAAAGAGUAGUUUCUCUAGAAAUGCAAAUCCAAUUUGUAGUAUUUGGAAAUUGCAAGUGAACAAAUAAAGGAAAAGGGAGAAAAAUAAGAGAAGGAAGUAGGUAAGAGAUUGGAAAAAAUAUGAGGGAGAAAAUGUAUAAGUCAAAAUUUACGUAAAUUUUAAUGUUAAUUAUACCAUAUACUGAUAGUAUGAUUUUUAGUGUUUUUAGUGUUCCUUUAGACAUAAAUUUUCACAUUUUUCAUGUUUUUAGGGAGUGAAAUCUCAUGAUUUUAUAUAGAAAGAACGUAUGCUCCGAGAGUACUUUAUAAUUUCUCAAAUUUUAAUUCUAUAAAUAAAAGUAGUUAAGAGAAAAUUUUGAUAUUUUAAUUUUAAAUUAAAUAUGUUAUUUCAACUUGUUAAUUUUUGAGUAAUUAAAGAUAAUAUCCACUCCUCUCAUGUCUACACAAAUGGAACUAAAACAAAAAAAAUAAAACAAACGUACAUGAAGCCGAGUUGAUUUUUGCUUACGAGUUACAAAAUGCAGGUUUCUUGACAAGGC
rnacentral:misc_RNA from 1 species